GGGUUGUGAGGUUAAGCGACUAAGCGUACACGGUGGAUGCCCUGGCAGUCAGAGGCGAUGAAGGACGUGCUAAUCUGCGAUAAGCGUCGGUAAGGUGAUAUGAACCGUUAUAACCGGCGAUUUCCGAAUGGGGAAACCCAGUGUGAUUCGUCACACUAUCAUUAACUGAAUCCAUAGGUUAAUGAGGCGAACCGGGGGAACUGAAACAUCUAAGUACCCCGAGGAAAAGAAAUCAACCGAGAUUCCCCCAGUAGCGGCGAGCGAACGGGGAGCAGCCCAGAGCCUGAAUCAGUGUGUGUGUUAGUGGAAGCGUCUGGAAAGGCGUGCGAUACAGGGUGACAGCCCCGUACACAAAAAUGCACAUACUGUGAGCUCGAUGAGUAGGGCGGGACACGUGGUAUCCUGUCUGAAUAUGGGGGGACCAUCCUCCAAGGCUAAAUACUCCUGACUGACCGAUAGUGAACCAGUACCGUGAGGGAAAGGCGAAAAGAACCCCGGCGAGGGGAGUGAAAAAGAACCUGAAACCGUGUACGUACAAGCAGUGGGAGCACGCUUAGGCGUGUGACUGCGUACCUUUUGUAUAAUGGGUCAGCGACUUAUAUUCUGUAGCAAGGUUAACCGAAUAGGGGAGCCGAAGGGAAACCGAGUCUUAACUGGGCGUUAAGUUGCAGGGUAUAGACCCGAAACCCGGUGAUCUAGCCAUGGGCAGGUUGAAGGUUGGGUAACACUAACUGGAGGACCGAACCGACUAAUGUUGAAAAAUUAGCGGAUGACUUGUGGCUGGGGGUGAAAGGCCAAUCAAACCGGGAGAUAGCUGGUUCUCCCCGAAAGCUAUUUAGGUAGCGCCUCGUGAAUUCAUCUCCGGGGGUAGAGCACUGUUUCGGCAAGGGGGUCAUCCCGACUUACCAACCCGAUGCAAACUGCGAAUACCGGAGAAUGUUAUCACGGGAGACACACGGCGGGUGCUAACGUCCGUCGUGAAGAGGGAAACAACCCAGACCGCCAGCUAAGGUCCCAAAGUCAUGGUUAAGUGGGAAACGAUGUGGGAAGGCCCAGACAGCCAGGAUGUUGGCUUAGAAGCAGCCAUCAUUUAAAGAAAGCGUAAUAGCUCACUGGUCGAGUCGGCCUGCGCGGAAGAUGUAACGGGGCUAAACCAUGCACCGAAGCUGCGGCAGCGACGCUUAUGCGUUGUUGGGUAGGGGAGCGUUCUGUAAGCCUGUGAAGGUGUGCUGUGAGGUAUGCUGGAGGUAUCAGAAGUGCGAAUGCUGACAUAAGUAACGAUAAAGCGGGUGAAAAGCCCGCUCGCCGGAAGACCAAGGGUUCCUGUCCAACGUUAAUCGGGGCAGGGUGAGUCGACCCCUAAGGCGAGGCCGAAAGGCGUAGUCGAUGGGAAACAGGUUAAUAUUCCUGUACUUGGUGUUACUGCGAAGGGGGGACGGAGAAGGCUAUGUUGGCCGGGCGACGGUUGUCCCGGUUUAAGCGUGUAGGCUGGUUUUCCAGGCAAAUCCGGAAAAUCAAGGCCGAGGCGUGAUGACGAGGCACUACGGUGCUGAAGCAACAAAUGCCCUGCUUCCAGGAAAAGCCUCUAAGCAUCAGGUAACAUCAAAUCGUACCCCAAACCGACACAGGUGGUCAGGUAGAGAAUACCAAGGCGCUUGAGAGAACUCGGGUGAAGGAACUAGGCAAAAUGGUGCCGUAACUUCGGGAGAAGGCACGCUGAUACGUAGGUGAAGCGACUUGCUCGUGGAGCUGAAAUCAGUCGAAGAUACCAGCUGGCUGCAACUGUUUAUUAAAAACACAGCACUGUGCAAACACGAAAGUGGACGUAUACGGUGUGACGCCUGCCCGGUGCCGGAAGGUUAAUUGAUGGGGUUAGCGCAAGCGAAGCUCUUGAUCGAAGCCCCGGUAAACGGCGGCCGUAACUAUAACGGUCCUAAGGUAGCGAAAUUCCUUGUCGGGUAAGUUCCGACCUG
rnacentral:rRNA from 1 species